ACAGGGAUUGCCCCAGUAACGGCGAGUGAAGCGGCAACAGCUCAAAUUUGAAAUCUGGCCCCAGGCCCGAGUUGUAAUUUGCAGAGGAUGCUUUUGGCGCGGUGCCUUCCGAGUUCCCUGGAACGGGACGCCAUAGAGGGUGAGAGCCCCGUACGGUUGGACACCAAGCCUUUGUAAAGCUCCUUCGACGAGUCGAGUAGUUUGGGAAUGCUGCUCUAAAUGGGAGGUACAUUUCUUCUAAAGCUAAAUAUUGGCCAGAGACCGAUAGCGCACAAGUAGAGUGAUCGAAAGAUGAAAAGCACUUUGAAAAGAGGGUUAAACAGCACGUGAAAUUGUUAAAAGGGAAGCGCUUGUGACCAGACUUGCGUCCGGUGAAUCACCCAGCUCUCGCGGCUGGGGCACUUCGCCGGCACAGGCCAGCAUCAGCUUGCCGUCGGGGACAAAAGCUUCAGGAACGUAGCUCCUCUCGGGGAGUGUUAUAACCUGUUGCAUAAUACCCUUCGGCGGGCUGAGGUACGCGCUCCGCAAGGAUGCUGGCGUAAUGGUCAUCAGCGACCCGUCUUGAAACACGGACCAAGGAGUCAACCUUAUGUGCGAGUGUUUGGGUGUUAAACCCCUACGCGUAAUGAAAGUGAACGCAGGUGAGAGCUUCGGCGCAUCAUCGACCGAUCCUGAUGUUCUCGGAUGGAUUUGAGUAAGAGCAUAUAGGGUUGGACCCGAAAGAAGGUGAACUAUGCGUGUGUAGGGUGAAGCCAGAGGAAACUCUGGUGGAGGCUCGCAGCGGUUCUGACGUGCAAAUCGAUCGUCAAACAUGCGCAUGGGGGCGAAAGACUAAUCGA
rnacentral:rRNA from 1 species